AUACGGAGGAUCCGAGCGUUAUCCGGAUUUAUUGGGUUUAAAGGGUGCGCUGGCGGGAGAUUAAGUCGGCGGUGAAAUUUUGCAGCUCAACUGUAAAAGUGCCUUCGAAACUGGUUUCCUUGAGUGUAGAUGAAGUAGGCGGAAUUUGUGGUGUAGCGGUGAAAUGCAUAGAUAUCACGAGGAACUCCGAUUGCGCAGGCAGCUUACUAAACUACUACUGACGCUCAGGCACGAAGGCGUGGGGAUCAAACAGGAUUAGAUACCCUGGUAGUCCACGCAGUAAACGAUGAUUACUAGCUGUUUGCGAUACAAUGUAAGCGGCUGAGCGAAAGCGUUAAGUAAUCCACCUGGGGAGUACGUUCGCAAGAAUGAAACUCAAAUGAAUUGACGGGG
rnacentral:rRNA from 1 species